AGUGAACGCUGGCGGUAGGCCUAACACAUGCAAGUCGAACGGCAGCACAGUAAGAGCUUGCUCUUACGGGUGGCGAGUGGCGGACGGGUGAGGAAUACAUCGGAAUCUACUUUUUCGUGGGGGACAACGUAGGGAAACUUACGCUAAUACCGCAUACGACCUACGGGUGAAAGCAGGGGAUCUUCGGACCUUGCGCGAUUGAAUGAGCCGAUUUCGGAUUAGCUAGUUGGCGGGGUAAAGGCCCACCAAGGCGACGAUCCGUAGCUGGUCUGAGAGGAUGAUCGGCCACACUGGAACUGAGACACGGUCCAGACUCCUACGGGAGGCAGCAGUAGGGAAUAUUGGGCAAUGGGCGCAAGCCUGAUCCAGCCAUGCCGCGUGGGUGAAGAAGGCCUUCGGGUUGUAAAGCCCUUUUGUUGGGAAAGAAAAACAGCAGGUUAAUACCCCGCUGUUCUGACGGUACCCAAAGAAUAAGCACCGGCUAACUUCGUG
rnacentral:rRNA from 1 species